UCCUGCUAGCUCUUGGAGUUCCUUUCAACGUUGGUGUUGGCGUUACCCUGAGGCAGUAAAACCUAUGGAACAUGGCUUUGAGAACCUACAUGUCUUCUAUAAGAGCUGAAUUAUCUAGGGAAGAAGGGUUAUUGGCAUCGACAAGUUUCAUUAUGUGGUAUUCUUGCUUCACCCUUGCCAUGAAAAAUACCCUUUCGUGAUGGACUGGCCUGAGCGGUUCUUCAUCACAUAGGCUCCUCCAUUCUAGCGGGUUUGUCUCUGUAGGAAAUUACUUCCAAUGAUAACUAGUACCGUACCUACCAUGAUUUGCAGCCCUCCAAAGCAUAAAGAUACACCUUCUUUGGUUGUUGUGUUCAUCUCAGUAUCUUGGGAUGUCUCUGCAUAAGUCCAUUCUCUCGUGUGGUAGCGUACCAUGUGAUGCGCUUGGUGGACAUUAGGCGUAUAGUGCUCAAAAACUACCCUAUUUCUUGAUUGCCAAAUAAUACAUAACACUGCACGUUUAAUUGCCACAUGCUUCAUAGCAUUUCAGCCAAGUGAUAAGUUUUGAUUAUUUUUCCAGCCAGUUUAUUAGCGACAUGGGAUUGAUUAUUUCUGUUUGCAAAAUCUGUGUUGAUCUGAAUCAUAUUUUCUGGAAAAGGGGCAUAAGAAGAAGAGACGAUGGUCUAAAGUUUACAUUGGGAGGCAUUUGUGGAGUAUUUUCUAUUGUUGUUUGUACUGUACUACUGCGUAUUCUUCAGAAUUUUAUAUACUUGCUUGACUUGGUAAGUUUCCUUUGGGUUUAAUUUCCAAACUUGGAUUCCAAAUUUUGAGUGAGCAGUUCUAAUGAUUUCUGCUAUAUAUCCUAGUUAAUUUCUCUUCAUCCUAUGUUCCUAUCCUUAGGUCCAUGAGGUCCUUGACUGUUCCUGUUUGAAGGUGUAAGCGCUCUAGGGUCUUAGGUGACUGGUUUAAACCAAAGUGUGUCUUAAAGCUUUAUGUGAUCACCCAUCCCCUACCUUCCAUUUAUCCUGGGCUGUAGUGGGGUGUCCUUUAUAUUUGCUUUUAAGUGUUGUGGUCACUAAUAACUUGGGGUUUUCACCAAUCCUCCAAAAUUGUUUGGCAAUCAACACUUUAUUGAAGCAUUCAGUGUGUCUUAGGCCCAGUCCUAUGGCUUCCUUUGGCUUAGUGAUAUUGUAUACUGACAUGGCGUAGAUUGGCAUUGCUUGCAUGACUAAUUUGAUCAAGAAUAUGAGGAUGUCAUCAGCAAACAGAAGGUGGGAGAUAGGUAGUUCCUUUGGCUAAUUGGCUUCCAUAUCUAGCAGGAUGUAUGACAAUGCAUUUGUACAUACGAUGAACAGGUGUUUUGAAAUGAUCUGUUGGUGCUCCGUUGAUGAGAAUGUUGUAGGGGACUGUUUUAAGUUUUAACACAUUGCAUGAUAAGGCUUGUCCACCUUCGGCCAAAGCCCAUAAUAUGUAACACUGCUUCAAUGAAGUUCUAGUUUAAUCAGUUGUAGACUUGUAGGCUUUGCUAUAUUUAAAUUGCAGCUAUCUUAAUUCUCA